rnacentral:pre_miRNA from 1 species
UGACGAUGCGCCUCUUAGAGAACGACGGUUUAUUAAGUCAACGUUUCGGUCGGAGCCCGACCUUUUUACGUUGACUUAAUAAACCGUCGUUCUCUAAGAGGCGCAUCGUC